AUGGGUUUAUGGCCAGAGACUAUAAUUUCCAUUGUGUUGGUCUAUACGGACUCGGUAGCUUCUGCGGUUGCUAUUGCCGCGUCUGCUGUGAAGUAUACGGCUAAACUGGAGAAGGACCGUGCCCGUCUGCUCCUUUCGUGUGCUAGCGUGGUUCCUCUCUCCAGUGGAGCGGCGGUGCAACAGCGACGAUGCUGCACGAGAUCAAACCAGAGGAAUGUGAUCCACAUUUGUCUUUGCUUCCAUGUCCACGGGAGAAAAUUGCUGAACAUUUUGUCAUCCCCAGAUUUCCUCCCCACGGUAUGGUCUUUGCAUGAGAAGCACAGAUGGGCAUGCCGACAUGGACCAUAUCAGGUUCCUUGGGUAAAGCUUGCUGAUUGUCAAUGUGAUUAG
rnacentral:rRNA from 1 species